rnacentral:lncRNA from 1 species
CGGGGGUAUGUUCAUGAGGAAAAUACGGCACACAUGGGAGUGCAGGGUUGAUAGAGAUGUUUAUCCUCUGUGCAGCCGUGUGAUUCUCAUUAAUGCCAUCGACAGGAUGACAACCUGCUGUUCUUCCCUGUUAAAAGGCUAAAAAUAGCCCUCCCCCUCAGGCUUCCCGGAGUAGGUCUGGGAAGCGGGGCGUUUUUGUCUCUUAUCGGGACCAACCCUGGGUGUCCCCACUCCCUCCAGGAUGAGGAAGUAUCCCUGGGCUGGCAGUUAGCCUUUUAGGCCAGUAUGGCCAUGGCCUGCGAGGGCCCAGGCUCCAUCUAUCUGCCUUCCCACACGUGCUUCCUGUUGUUCCACAGCAUGCAGAAGCCGGCACUUUAGGGGGUGAGUACUGGGGGGGAGGGUCAGGGCCUGCUUUCCUGGCGGACGCAGGCGCUUUUGUUCAAGGUCGCCCUGGGAACAGUUUAAAUAUAGGUGCACUGAACAUGGGGCCGCCAGGUCGUGUGCAACAGAGUUGAUAACAUCAGAGCUCGUAAAAGUCCCCCAUCACACGCCACCAGUCUGCUGUGGUAUCGUUUCCACAGUGUUGCUGCAUCGAGAAUUCACAGCCUGCGAUUUGACAAAGAUAGAGAUCAAUCAGAGAGAAAGCACUGUAUUUUAUGAAAAACCAGGAACAAUGAACACAUUAUUCAUCCCACAGCUUGUGACAUCACGGCCAGUGUCUUGAUGAGUGCUAAAUGGGCCCAGCUGCAAGGGCUGAUAUUAAUGGCUUCCAUAAGCUUGCCCACCCCUCCCAUUGCUGGUAUGGCACUGGGCUCAGGAAACAGAAAUGCGAUCCACACUUCCACCGCUGUUCUGCGGCAGGCUUGGCUUGGCGCUCCUCCAGCCAGCUGCCUGUUUUCCCGCUGCAUGGGAACAUCCUGCCUGGCUGCGACGGGGGACCUCCCUGCCCACCCCAGGCAAGCAGUCUCACUCUCUCUCUCUUUUUCACACACACGCAAACACAGGAAAGUUGGACAUCUCUGACCGUACACAUUCAAAUAAGGCUUCACACUUCAAAUAAGACUGUGUCACCUUUGUGCCUUAGAGAAGGAACACAAAGCAGAGUAGACACAAAACCUCUCCAAAUGAGGCUGAUUCUAUUUUGA